AGAAGCUUAGGAUAAUUUAAACCAAGGGCCUUCAAAGCCCUAAAUAGGGACCACACCCCUAGCUUCUG
rnacentral:tRNA from 1 species